rnacentral:lncRNA from 1 species
AAUUAUUGUCUACUAUCUUAUGUCCUCCACUGUUUAGCUUCCCCCGCCUUUAUUUAUUUAGCUCUCAACUGCAUCUUUGAAAAUGUGUCAUUGUUCUCUAUAAUCUUUUUAGUAUUGCAAUGUUUUGGUCUAGGCAAGAAACAGGUUUUAGAUAUGCUUCUAGUGGUUUGCGGAACUGUUGUAUUGUCGAGGCCAGGGAGGGCUUGGAACGAAGUAUGGUGUAAUGGUGUUUCAUCUAUUAUUUUUUGGUGCGUACGCUUGUACCACAUUUCCUGUUUGCUUUUGUAAUUUCUGCUUGGAACAGAGUGUGAAGCAGUUUGUCCUUGUUGCUAUCCAUCAUUUCACAAUCAUCUAGCUUCCUCAAGCUACACCACCUACACCCAGGAUUCUGAACUGGCUCUACAACAAAUCAGAGAAGGCACCUCUGAUAAACUGGAUGAUGAGUCUAUGGUUUCCUGUUUUCUCUCUGGUCUUGUGUUUUGUCAGACCGGUUAUGCCUUGACUUGCUCCGGCCAAGAAACUGCUGUAUGUUCUGUGAUGGAAUUAAUAUUUGCUAUCUUGAUUUGGACAUGCUGAUAUGUACCCAAUGCUCCACUGUUUAGCUCGAUGUUGUGCCUCGUCGUUUUCCAUAAGCUUUGUUAAUUUGCAUUGGCUGUUCU